rnacentral:rRNA from 1 species
UACGGAGGGUGCAAGCGUUAAUCGGAAUUACUGGGCGUAAAGCGUGCGUAGGCGGUUCGUUAAGUCUGUUGUGAAAGCCCCGGGCUCAACCUGGGAACUGCAUUUGUGACUGCAUAGCUAGAGUACGGUAGAGGGGGAUGGAAUUCCGCGUGUAGCAGUGAAAUGCGUAGAUAUGCGGAGGAACGCCGAUGGCGAAGGCAAUCCCCUGGACCUGUACUGACGCUCAUGCACGAAAGCGUGGGGAGCAAACAGG